rnacentral:tRNA from 1 species
UCCCUAGUGGCUCAGAUGGUAAAGAAUCCGCCUGCAAUGCAGGAGACCCAGGUUCGAUCCCUGGGUUGGGAA